AGUGAACGCUGGCGGUAGGCCUAACACAUGCAAGUCGAACGGUAGCACAGUAAGAGCUUGCUCUUACGGGUGGCGAGUGGCGGACGGGUGUGGAAUACAUCGGAAUCUCCUUUUUCGUGGGGGAUAACGUAGGGAAACUUACGCUAAUACCGUAUACGACCUACGGGUGAAAGCAGGGGCUCUUCGGAUCUUGCGCGAUUGAAUGAGCCGAUGUCGGAUUAGCUAGUUGGCGGGGUAAAGGCCCACCCAGGCGACGAUCCGUAGCUGGUCUGAGAGGAUGAUCAGCCACACUGGAACUGAGACACGGUCCAGACUCCUACGGGAGGCAGCAGUGGGGAAUAUUGGACAAUGGGCGCAAGCCUGAUCCAGCCAUACCGCGUGGGUGAAGAAGGCCUUCGGGUUGUAAAGCCCUUUUGUUGGGAAAGAAAAGCAGCAGGUUAAUACCCCGCUGUUCUGACGGUACCCAAAGAAUAAGCACCGGCUAACUUCGUG
rnacentral:rRNA from 1 species